UGUGCGCCAUUGCUGUACAAGCUCCGUUCACAGAUACCUGCCUUACACUAAGGUUUCGGGAAUGGCGAACUGUUCUUCGACAAAUAGGCAUAGGAACCAAACCC